rnacentral:tRNA from 1 species
GGAGAGGUACCCAAGUGGCUGAAGGGGACGGUUUGCUAAAUCGUUAGGAGGGCGCAAGCUCUCGCGAGGGUUCGAAUCCCUCUCUCUCCGCCA